GGUUGAUCCUGCCAGUAGUCAUAUGCUUGUCUCAAAGAUUAAGCCAUGCAUGUCUAAGUAUAAACAAAUUUAUACCGUGAAACUGCGAAUGGCUCAUUAAAUCAGUUAUAGUUUAUUUGAUGGUCUUUUUCUACAGGGAUAACUGUGGUAAUUCUAGAGCUAAUACCUGCAUAAAAACCCCGACUUCUGGAAGGGGUGUAUUUAUUAGAUUCAAAAUCUUCAGACUUCGGUCUUAUUGAUGAUUCAUAAUAACUUCUCGAAUCGCAUGGCCUUGUGCCGGCGAUGCUUCAUU
rnacentral:rRNA from 1 species